AACGCGAAGAACCUUACCAGGGCUUGACAUCCCGCGAACCCUGUGGAAACACGGGGGUGCCCUUCGGGGAGCGCGGAGACAGGUGGUGCAUGGUUGUCGUCAGCUCGUGUCGUGAGAUGUUGGGUUAAGUCCCGCAACGAGCGCAACCCCUGCCCUGUGUUGCCAGCACUUCGGGUGGGCACUCACAGGGGACUGCCGGUGAAAAACCGGAGGAAGGUGGGGAUGACGUCAAAUCAUCAUGCCCCUUAUGCCCUGGGCUACACACGUGCUACAAUGGCCGGUACAAAGGGAAGCGACGCCGCGAGGCGGAGCGGAUCCCAAAAAGCCGGUCCCAGUUCGGAUCGCAG
rnacentral:rRNA from 1 species